rnacentral:lncRNA from 1 species
UGAUGGAAUUUUUAUCAUGCAUACCGGGAUGGACGUCUAGAGGAAGUUGUGCUGCGUCACCUGGGAAAUGAAGAUGGUCAGACGGUGAUAGCUGCAAAUAUUAGGCUGUCAGACUUUCUUAGUGAUUUGCGCAUUAGGUGAAUAAAGUCGUCUGAUAUUCGAAUGAGUGUUGUGUGUAGCAAGAAGAUAUGUGCAGCUUUGAUGCUGGUUUUCAAUUGCUGCUAGUGGAGUACACCAGAUAUCUAUAAGAAUAUCUUGCUGGAGAAUGAGACCGGGUUUGCGGGAGAAGACAUGACGUGCUUGGUUGAUAUUUGACAACAUAAUUCAAAGAAUAAUAGUAAUAAUGGAAAUCCAGAUUAAAAAAAAAAAUAGUAAUUAUGGAAAGGAUGAGUUAUGUUGAGGAUUUGACAAUUAUAUACAUGCAUGUGUGGCUUCAAUAUUCUACAGGUUGGGUAUAGACAAUGAUUUUGAAUAAAGGAUGGGAUAUGGAUAGCAUGAGAAUACCAUACUUGUUGAGAACUGUAUAUAAAGGCAUACCGGCUUUGACGAUUUUUCAUCUUCGUUGACGGUUAUUUUUGAAAAUGAAACCAUGCUCUUAUAUUGAGGAUGCUCGUGUUGUAGUUGGUCCUCUUGUAAUAAUCCUGGCAUCUAUCUUUAGAUAUUUAGAACUAAACGAGUGAGCAAAACUAUGAGAUUGUGAGUUUGCGACGCAAGAUAUAAGCAUGAUGGUUAAUUUUGGCUGUCUAGAAUUGUAUGUUGAUUGGAAUUUUCCUAUGG